GCUAACUCCGUGCCAGCAGCCGCGGUAAUACGGAGGGUGCAAGCGUUGUCCGGAAUUAUUGGGUGUAAAGGGUGUGCAGGCGGAAGUCUAAGUCGGAGGUGAAAUCUUGCCGCUUAACGGUAAAAGGGCCUUCGAUACUGGAUUUCUUGAGUUCGGAAGAGGUUGGUGGAAUUCGUGGUGUAGCGGUGAAAUGCAUAGAUAUCACGAAGAACACCAGUGGCGAAGGCGGCCAACUGGUCCGACACUGACGCUGAGACACGAAAGCGUGGGGAGCGAACAGGAUUAGAUACCCUAGUAGUC
rnacentral:rRNA from 1 species